UGACGCAGCAACGCCGCGUGCGGGAUGAAGGCCUUCGGGUUGUAAACCUCUUUCGUCCGGGACGAUAAUGACGGGACCCGGGGAAGAAGCCCCGGCUAACUUCGUGCCCGCCGCCCCGGUAA
rnacentral:rRNA from 1 species